rnacentral:lncRNA from 1 species
UUCGACUGCCGAAUCGGUUUUUUCGCCGGAACUUCCUCCUCCGGCCACCAAUCCGAGCAAGCUUGGUACGGUUUUGUAGCCCUCCUCCCGUGCAACAACCCCUCCAAGCAGCUCCCUCCCUCUUGAGCUAGGUAAGGAGAAAUGUGGAGUUGAAAUUUCUAGGCUUUUAAGUUAUUUUCGUUCGAUUAGCCUAGUUAGGCUUGGAAUUGGGUGAUGUGUUGGUCAUGAAAGUUGUAGAGGAGAUUGAGAGGAAGAUUCUGUUAAAAUUUGGUAGCGUUUGCAGGUCGCCGGAAAACGGCUGCCGGCCGCCGCUACCGGCGGAGCCGCUAGCGGCGCCGCCGCCGGUUAGGAGAUUUUUAGGGUUUUAAAUGUGGAAUAUUAAGAGGAGUAUAUGUCACAUCCCGACCCUUAUAUUUUUACUUUAUUUACUAGCGUGAUUAUAAUAAGAAUUUUACCGUCUCGAUCAUUGAGUAAAUAGUUUAAUUGGUCCCUAGAGGGGUUUCGGGGACGAUUAUGUGCGGAGGAUUAUUCGUAUGAUGAAAAUACGACGACGGUAAAAAUAGUAAAUUUUAGCUAGUAAAAGGUAAUUUUUAUUCGGGUAUUAUUUUUCGGGGUGUUGAAUUUUGAAAUUAUGGGUUAAAAGGGGUGUUGGGUCGGCUGGGCCGAGCCCAACCCAUUUCUUCUUCUUUCUCUUCUCCCUCCCUCCCGAUUUUUCUUCUCUUCCCACCCGAUUUUCUUCUCUCUACACCCAGCAGAAUUCCGGCCGUCCUCCCGCUGCCGUCCGACCUCCGUUCGCCGCCGGACCGGUCCCGUUCGGUCGGUCUCCCUCCCAGCAACAUUUCUAGACCGGUGAGAGGAGCCCUAGCGCCGCCGUGAGAGAGCGGUGCCGCUCGAAAGCAAGGGCUGCCCCGAGCUUCCCUUCGCCGGAACUUCCUCCUCCGGCCACCAAUCCAGGCAAGCUUGGUAUGGUUUUGUAGCCCUCCAACCCAGCAACCUUGCCCUAAAAGGACUCACUCCCUCUUGAGCUAGGUAAGGAGAAAUUUGAGGUGGAAGUUUUAUGGUGUUUUUGAUGUUUUUAGUCGAUUGCCCUAGUUAGGCUUGGAAUUGGUGUUUGUGCUAGUUAUGAAAGUUGUAGAGCUUGAUGAGAGGAAGAUGCUGUUAAAAUUUCAUAGGUUUUGGAGGUCGCCGGAAUUGACCUUCGGCCGCCGCUGCCGGCGGAGCCGCCGGCGGCGCCGCCGCCGGUUGGGAGAUUUUAAUGUUGUUAAAUUUGGAAUAUUAAGGGGAGUUUAUUGAAGUGAGUUAUGGAAUUUUUGGAUGAGUUUUGGAUAGGUUUAUGAAUUUCCGAAGUGUGGUAUUUUUGGCGGGUAAUUAAUGUAGAAUCCGGCCGUUGGAUUUAAGUCGUAUUUUGGAGAGGUUGUAUUUACGACUGUGGAGUAUGAUAUUUAAGUUCGGAUCGUCCGAUGUAAGAAUAUUGAAGUUAGGCAAUA